rnacentral:rRNA from 1 species
GGGGGACUGUCUGCUUAAUGCGAAACGAGCGAGACCUUACUCUGCUAAAUAGCCAGGCUAGCUUUGGCUGGUCGCCGGCUUCUUAGAGAGACUAUCAACUCAAGUUGAUGGAAGUUUGAGGCAAUAACAGGUCUGUGAUGCCCUUAGAUGUUCUGGGCCGCACGCGCGCUACACUGACAGAGCCAACGAGUUCUUUUCCUUGUUCGAAAGAAUUGGGUAAUCUUGUUAAACUCUGUCGUGCUGGGGAUAAAGCAUUGCAAUUAUUGCUUUUCAACGAGGAAUGCCUAGUAAGCGCGUGUCAUCAGCAUGCGUUGAUUACGUCCCUGACCUUGUACACACCGCCCGUCGCUACUACCGAUUGAUGGCUCAUGAGGCCUUCGGACUGGCUCGAGAGUGGCACGACCACUCAGCCGGAA